ACUUAAUAGAGAUACAAGCCUAUAUAUAACCAUAGAGAAAUACACUUAAGGAAAUAAUAUCAAAUAAUAUCUCCAGAAUAAUAUCUCCUAAGAAUAAUAUCUCCUAAGAAUAAUAUCUCCUAAGAAUAAUCUAAUUAUAUUAAUACCCUCCCUCAAACUCAAGGUUGAAAUCACAAACUUGAGUUUGCUAAGAACUAAGAAAAGAAACAAUAUAUCUAGAAUAGAAUAAAAAACCCGAAGAAGAAACACACAAAGAACUUCUAGGCUAAAACAAACCCACGAAGAGCGAAACGAAGAACUUCUGGGAUAGAAACAUAGAUCCUCGUAUAGAGAUCUAUAACAUAACCUAGGAAGAACGAAACAAGAACUUCGAGGGGCAAAAUGAAAGAGCAAAACUGAAGCAAAGUAGAAUCAAAGCUGGAUGAAAACAGGGUCGGGAUUGGACAGAUGUGUUUUGUCGGAUCGGAAUGGAACCGAACGAACUAAACUAGAGCAAGUCAGAAUCAGAUUAAACGGGAAAUCUGGGGCGAACAGAACGGAAACUGAACUGAAUGGAGCAGAGAGGCUUAGCGGAUCUGAACAAAAACAGAAACGAGGCGUCGUUGGAUCUGGGCUUCGAUCUAAACUUUGAAGGCAGACAUGAAGGAUGGGUCUGAACAAAAUUAGACAGAUCUGGAACAGAUUGAAGGCAGACGCGAGGAUCUGAGGACAUGGGGUUUCAUGGUUUUGUUGGGACAGCGUAAGGAGAUGGAGCAACGGCAACGAAACGCAGCGGCGAGCGGAGCUUCUUGGACGAUGGACAAAACCGAAACUCUUCGGCUGGGCGUUCGGCUUCAACUGGCAGAGGCGUUCGGCUUCAACUGGCAGAGGUUCAAUCGGCUGCUUGGCUAACAGAAAAACAAGAGGUCGGACGAAGAACUAUGAAGGAGAUGGCCGCCGCGGACGCUAGUGAAAAACUAAUGGGGUUUCUGGGGUUUGGAUAGUGGCAGAUUUGAACAGCAAUGAGUGGCAAAGGGAAGGUGCAACGACAACGGCAGAUUUGCAGAUCUAAGGGGUGGCUUCGGCUAAUGGGAGAUGAUUUUGCCUCCGUUGAUGGCUAAUGAGAGAUGAUUCUGCCUCCGUUGAUGAAUGAUCAACGGAGGCAGAGAUCAAACGGGAUGUGGAGGCUAGAAUUCAAUAAGGCGAAAACCCUAGAGCUCUGAUACCAUGUUGAUUUUAUGGAAUUAAUCUAUAUUUCAUUAAUUACUUAAUAGAGAUACAAGCCUAUAUAUAACCAUAGAGAAAUACACUUAAGGAAAUAAUAUCAAAUAAUAUCUCCAGAAUAAUAUCUCCUAAUAAUAAUCUAAUUAUAUUAAUACUUCGCACCUUCAUUACCAUAAACAAUCAACAGUUCCUCUUGAGAAAUGUAAUGAUGGUUCCUCUAUCAGGGCAAAUGGUGCUAUUGUACUUAGCUUUCUCAGCAUCAGUAAAAGAACCGAUUUUGACAGUUUUCUCGAGAAGCAUAUCAGUACUUGGCCUUAGCUUUCUCAGCAUCAGGCAAAGCACCGAUCUGCAUCAGGCAAAGCUUGUUAUCAACACACACUUUUUCAGCCAUAAGAUGUUCACACAUCUGUGUAAAACUUGCCAAAUAAAUAAUCCCAUUUCCUA
rnacentral:lncRNA from 1 species